CAAAUUAUCUGUUGAGCCCAAAUCUCCGGCUGUCUCCUAGCAACGAUGCACAGUUUUCACCAUAUGUUGGUGGUAUGGCAUUUUCGCCUACUUCAUCUCCUGGUUACAGUCCAUCAUCACCAGGCUACAGUCCAUCAUCACCUGGAUACAGCCCCACUUCACCAGGGUACAGUCCCACAUCCCCUGGGUACAGCCCCACAUCACCUGGGUACAGUCCUACCUCUCCAACAUACAGCCCUAGCUCUCCAGGAUACAGUCCUACGAGCCCAGCUUAUUCACCUACAAGUCCAUCCUACUCUCCCACGUCACCCAGCUACAGUCCCACAUCACCCAGCUACAGCCCAACUUCUCCCAGCUACAGCCCUACAUCUCCCAGCUAUAGCCCCACUUCACCUGCAUACAGCCCAACAUCUCCAGCAUACAGCCCCACUUCACCUGCCUAUAGUCCCACUUCUCCAUCAUAUAGUCCAACAUCACCUUCCUACAGUCCAACUUCGCCUUCCUACAGCCCCACAUCACCCUCUUACAGCCCGACAUCUCCCUCAUAUAGCCCUACAUCACCUGCUUACAGCCCUACCUCUCCUGGGUACAGCCCCACAUCACCCUCUUACAGCCCAACAUCACCAUCAUAUAGUCCUACUUCCCCAAGUUACAAUCCGCAGUCUGCUAAGUAUAGCCCUUCAUUGGCAUAUUCUCCCAGCAGUCCGAGGUUGUCUCCAUCAAGUCCCUAUAGUCCCACGUCUCCAAGCUAC
rnacentral:lncRNA from 1 species